rnacentral:rRNA from 1 species
GACGAACGCUGGCGGCGUGCUUAACACAUGCAAGUCGAACGGUAAGGCCUUCGGGUACACGAGUGGCGAACGGGUGAGUAACACGUGGGUGAUCUGCCCUGCACUUUGGGAUAAGCCUGGGAAACUGGGUCUAAUACCGAAUAGGACUACGGCCUGCGUGGGUUGUGGUGGAAAGCUUUUGCGGUGUGGGCUGGGCCCGCGGCCUAUCAGCUUGUUGGGGAGGUCACGGCUCACCAAGGCGACGACGGGUAGCCGGCCUGCGAGGGCGACCGGCCACACUGGGACUGAGAGUCGGCCCAGACUCCUACUGGAGGAAGCAGUGGGGAAUAUUGCACAAUGGGCGCAAGCCUGAUGCAGCGACGCCGCGUGAGGGAUGACGGCCUUCGGGUUGUAAACCUCUUUCAGUAGGGACGAAGCGCAAGUGACGGUACCUAUAGAAGAAGGACCGGCCAACUACGUGCCAGCAGCCGCAGUAA